rnacentral:lncRNA from 1 species
AUUUGUGGCAUAACAGAGGAAAAGAUUACUGAACCAAAAGUGAAGAGGCUGCAGUUUAACAUCAUACUGUGCGAUCUUGAAGAAGUCAUUCAGUUUCUUCAUGUUCAAAUCCUCCUAACAAUAAAAUGUUGGUAAUAGACUAAGAAGAGCCUCUCCAAAUCCUCUUCACUCAUAUUCACUGACAACAGUAUACUCUGUAUGUUGGGGGUGCACGGGGGUCUACAUGCAGUAUCUGAGACUUCCUUUUAAAGUGUAAAUUACUCGGUUGACCCACUAGAUGGUAGCAAAUUCUGAAUGAUUACUGAAUGGUUACUGAAUGAUUACAGGCAGCCAACAACUUUCAUAACAGCCUGAAUUCUCCUAUCAAAGUUAGUAGAAGCACUUUGCCUUGCUUGUCGAAACAUUUGAGUUUUAUUCAUAUUUACUCAGCUCUGCCAUUUAUUACUUAUAUGAUUUGGGGCAAAUAAGCCUUUCAAAGUUUCUGAUUCCUCCACAAUAAAUUCAAAGAGUAUCACGAAGAUCUAUAACUACAAAUAUUGUUACCCUAGGAAGAACAAUACACAUUUAAAUAGUAAUAUCCUCACAUUAAAUAAGAAUGUUCUCUUUUCUACCUUGAGUCAUUCAAAUAAUUUGAAUUUGGGAUAAAGAAAAAUUCUAUGUUCUAUUUAUGAGAUAUUGGGUCUUUGGUAUGUUUUAGUUUCCUUGUGUGUAAAAUGGGAAAGUAAUAGUAUCUAUUACUUAGAGAGUUUGAAAUGAAUCAGUAAGGCCUCCUAAGU